ensembl:lncRNA
GGCUAUGGAUAAGGCUAGAGAUGGCUUCACGUUUCCUUGAAAUUGAAAUGAAAUUUAUUGAGGGUGCUAAGCAGCGAGCCUCAGUAGAGGAGUAGGAGGCUUAGGUCAAGUAGGGGAGGAAACUCAUCAGGGAAUAUUUAAAAACGAAGUUCAGUGGGGGUUUUUUGUUCGUUUUGUUUUUGUUUUGUUUUUGUUUUUUAAAUCUUAGGUGAAGUAAACCAUUUAAUCUUUUAGUAUACAAGGGUGUCACCAUGGAUACAACCUCUAAGCACAUUAUCCAAAUUGCAGGGUUCUGCAUAAACACAUCAAUGAACCAAACUCUCCUUAAAAAAUGCUCUCUGCCUACACACACACACUCACACACAUGGACACAGACACACCCUUCUCUAUCUCCCUGUCAACUCAUAACCAAUUGAAUAUAAUGGUGGAUAUUCUUUAACUUAAUUCUGGAGUCCUAGAGUCUUUUUUAUACCUAUGUUGUGCUAUUUCAUAGUGUAACAUUUAGAUUCAGGUCAUAUCACAGUGGAGCCUAAUUCUAGCCACAAAAUGUGGUUGUUAACUUAGACCUGUGCUCAUUGUGACCUGGGGAUUGUGCUGGAUGCUUGGUUUAUAGUUAUCCCAUUUACAGUCCCUCCUACCACACUGUGAACUGACAGAUGGGGAAACUGACGCUCAAUGAUUAUUAAGGAAUUUGCUCAGUGUCACUCAGCUUGUUAAAGAACAUUUUUCAGUUUUCAAAUACAGAUCUUCCUGACUCUAACCACCACCCUGUCACCUGGUUACAGUGACAGGCUGAAGAACAAUAAAUAACAGUAGUCUUUUGUUUUGAUGCUGAAGAUGCUCUUCAGCUCAUGCUGGCUGGAAUUUCCUGUGCAGUGAAGGGAGAAGAGAAAGUGCAUUUUAAUAAGCUUCAAUUAAAUUAAUUUCAUUUUACUUCUUUUGAUGUAUGGUCUCUUGAAAAAAUCCAAUUCUGCUGAUGUUUAUUAAGUGCCUCUAUUCACUUGGAAAGCGCCAAGCACUUCAGGGCAUCUACAGAUGAGUGUGAUUCAGCCGAUGCUUCAAGAGUUUACAAUCUAGUGGAGAGGAUGGGAGUGUGUAAUUUACCCUAAUACUAGAUUGAAUGUGAUAAGCACCCUAAGAGGUGGCACAAACAAUAGUUCUUAAUUCAGAAAUAUAAGGCUAUGUGAAUAAUUAGAAAAUUGUCCAGGUAGCGCCUAAACACUAAAGUUGUCACACAGUAGAGCUCUUUUAGAGUCUUUGUCUUAUGCAUGACAUGAUUAUCCACUGGUUUGAAUCCAGACCAUGGAAUAAGUGAAGAAAUGUAUAGAUGGUAGCGGUGACAUCAUUUGCAAUGGCAGCCCAGUGUGUGUUGUAGAGGAAGAUGAUUCAAAACUCAGGGUCAAGGGAGUUCCCAUCAUGGCGCAGUGGUUAACGAAUCCGACUAAGAACCAUGAGGUUGCAGGUUCGAUCCCUGCCCUUGCUCAGUGGGUUGACGAUCCGGCGUUGCCAUGACCUGUGGUGUAGGUCACAGACGCGGCUCGGAUCCUCGUUGCUGUGGCUGUGGCGUAAACCCGAAGCUACAGCUCCGAUUGGACCCCUAGCCUGGGAACCUCCAUAUGCCGCGGGAGUGGUCCAAGAAAUGGCAAAAAGACAAACAAACAAAAAACAAAAAACAAAAAAACAAACUCAGGGUCAAGAAGGUAAGGGUGCAGCACUUUCCUUGGUGUCAUGUGGCCUGCCUCUGUUCUUGGUCCUUGGUGUGUUUUGGUAGACAAUAGCGAUUCAAGACAUUGAACUGCAAGUGUCCAAAGAUAGGUAUUAUAUAAAGUUUUGUGGGUUUUUUGUUUGUUUGUUUGUGGCUGCUGCACCCAUGGCAUGCAAAAGUUUCUGGGCUAAGGAUUGAACCCAAGCCACAGCAGUGACAAUGCUGAGUCCUUAAUGGCUAAAGCCAUCAGGUAACUCCUAAAGUUGUUGGUCUUAAUUUUUUCUUUUAGCAUACUUUUUUAGAGUUAAGGAAUCUGAACUCCAGAAAUACCAUGAGUCUGGAAUAGGUCAAGUCCUGCAUAUUCUGGGUAAACAAUCUUGUAAUACAUUCAUUUUUCUUAGGGAUUUAAAAGGAGGGUAGUAGACACUACACUACAAUUCUUUCCAGGUUUACUGAAAACUUUUGGAAGAAGGGAAACAAAACCAAAAACAUGAGGUAGUAUAAUGUACUGUGUACAAGUAGGAAUUUAAUAAAUGCUUCCUGAUUCUUCACUUAUUGGUCCUUUAUAUAUGUUAGGCACUGUCACAGUCAUUUCUUAAAUGCAUAGCUAAAAUCAACAUUACUUCUGUCUUCUAAGAGUUUCUAUCUAAACAGAACAACUGAGGGGAGGGGGUGUUGGCCCUUCUGUAGAUUGGAAGUCAGACAUCCACUGCCAUAUUAUUGGGAAUACAAAUCCGACUGCAGGAGCCAUUGUUCUCCAACUUUCUCAGCACUGUGCAAUACUCUCUGUUUCCCCAUGGAUGUUUGUCUCCAUUGUAAUCCAAACAUCCUUGCAGUUGGCUUGGCACGCUCCCCCUGCAGUCGGUCAGUGCCUCCCUGAUGGAUUGGCUGCAGCCACAUUUGGUGUUGCUUGGAUGCAGUGAUGGAUGCUGCUCUCUCCUCUCCGGCUGUUUGGAGCCAGAAUACAGAAGUGUUGGUUAGAAGGUGAUUAAUCUUCCCUAAUGGUACAGUGUGCUGCAAACAGGAUUCCGGCCCCCAUAUCUUCAUUAGCCUUGAUCAGCAUCCACAUUACCUCAGAUUAGGUAAUUGGUUAUUUGUUAUAAAGCAGAGGGUAGAGGCCUUUGGAACAAGUGUCAGCUGCAUGAAGUCCACUUGGAAAGGGGAAGUAGUGGAGCCCCGAUUGCCAAGAAUUCAUGGGAAAGCGGGUGUGUGGUCCCAGGCACCGCUUUGCUAAGCCCUCCAGUCAAUGGAGGGCAGUGGGCAGACACAUCAGUGUGGACGCCAGCAGCUGCCUCUUGUCAUUGCUUUGCUUCCUGGAUGACACUGUUCAGAGAUUGGAACUGUUUAGGAAAUGCUAUUUUCUAACAGUUGAGGACAGAUUCUUAGUAUCUUCGGGAAUUAAAAGGUAUAUUUCUUUAAAUAGGAGUUUAGAAACUUAACUUCAGGCACAGUAUUAUUCAGAAAACUGGGGCUAAGUGGAGAGCACAACAGACUUAGCCGAAGCUCUCACUGAGUGGGAGAGACAGAUAACAAGCAAAGAGACAGAUGCUGGAAGUGAACAAAGUGCUCUGAAGAAAAGUAAAUUGAGUAAGGAGAGAAAGACUGGGACAGGUGGUGGUCAGGGAGGAUUCUCUGAGGAAGAGACAUCCAAGUGGACAGUAAGUGAAGUGAGGGCGCCUGUGUGAAGUGAGAGGGCCAAUUUGCCUUGGGCCUUCUAGGCAGAGAGGACAGCCAGUGGUCUGUGUUCAUUUUCUUUUAACCUUAGCACCUAUCAGGAAUCAUUCAGGUGCACAAGUAAUGCUAAUGGACCUGGAAUAAGUAAGUCUACAGUAUGGUGUCUAGUACAUCAUUGGUGUUCAAAAAAAAUAUGAGCAUCUCCCUCUCUGUUUGCAACUUGAAGAAGUGACUUAAGAUGAAUUCUCACACACCGCCAUGCGUCUGCUCUCUGAAUGCCACAUCCUGCAACUCUAGGCAAACCACUGGAAGCAUCUUCCCUCCCCCUCCUCCCUUCCUUUCUCUUUUCUACCUCUGCCCUCCCUUUCUUUCCUUUCUUCUUCUCCCUCCUUCCUUCCCUGACUCUUCUCCCCUGUCUCCUAAAACAGGAGUGCCUCAAAUGCAGAUUUUUAAAAUGAAUGAAAUGUAACCUCAUGGAUUGUGGAGUGAAUGACUGAUUACUCUCUGUGAUAAUGUAAUACCACAACCAUUUAUUCCAUGCCCCAGUCCACACACACACACAACACACACACACACACGCACACACACAAUCACACACACAAUCACACGCAAUGGUGAAAGCCAUACCAGUUAGGUGCUGGAGUGGGGUGAAAUAGAAAAGGAUGAGUGUUGUGUGCCCCUGAGGUUUUUAUAGCACCAGGCCAAAUUAGAGUGCCGUUUUGACAGGGGACUAUUGGUUCUUACUAGUAGAGACAGAUGUGGUAAGGAUGCCUUUUUGGGGUUUCUUUUCUUUUUUUUUUUUGUCUUUUUGCCUUUUCUAGGUCUGCUCCCGCGGCAUAUGGAGAUUCCCAGGCUAGGGGUCUAAUCGGAGCUGUAGCUGCCGGUCUACACCAGAGCCACAGCAACGUGGGAUCAGAGCCGUGUCUGCAACCUCUACCACAGUUCACGGCAACGCUGGAUCUUUAACCCACUGAGCAAGGCCAGGGAUCAAACCCACAACCUCAUGGUUCCUAGUCGGUUUCGUUAACCGCUGAGCCACAAAGGGAACUCCAAUUUUGUCACUUUCUUAAAAAUCACACUCAUGAGCGAAAUUCCUCUUUCUCCACUUACUAAUAACUAUAACAAUAGAAAGUAUCUACUAAGCAACUAUUAAAUAUAUCAUCUCUAAUACAACCACGCAUAGAACCUAGUUCCCUCUACUUUACUGAUAAAGACAUUGAGACUCAGAGGUAUAGGGCCCCACAGUGUACACGGGAAGCUUGGAUUCCCUCCCAUCCACCCCGACUCCCAAGAAUCUGACUGCUGCAGAGGCAGUCCUCCUCUCUCUCAAUCAGUUACCUCCCAAAGCAUCCCAACAUUCUUCUCCCUUUGGGGCUUUGUGAUCGUUCUCUGUUAUUCCCAUCCCUCCCUCUGUCAGGCCUGUGGAAUCCUUCUUAGAGGAUUCUUUAUAAUCUAUCCAUUUGUUUACAGCCCUACCCAUUUCUUCUCACAAAGCCUUUACCCUUUUACAUCUAGACUAUUGUACUUUUCUGCGUUUCAGCCUCAAGUUGUUUGCCACACCAACCAAUUUUAUGCACUGCAGUCAGAUUUACUACCUUAAGAGCCACUUUGCCACAUUGCUACCCACCUCACAAUUGUUCAGGGUGCUCCACUGUUCUCAGUGGCCUAACAGUCAGGCUCUGCAUGAUCUACUCCACCUAUUUAUCCGGCCAUAUUUCAGCCACACGGCUGAGUUUACAAGAUCCCUGGAAUAUGCCAGCUAUGUUCUUCCCUUGAUAACUUUGCUGACCCUGUUUGUCACAGUUAAGGGGCAGCCUCCUUUCCCAGACUCUCUGAAAGAUCCAGCUCAAUAUGUGUCUCUUCCAUAAAAAAUCAUCCUCCCUUUUCCUGGAUUCUCCCUUCUUGAACACUUUCUCUAAAUCCAUAGGUCUAUAAAAUGGUCCUGUUUUAAAUUAACCUUGAAUAGAAACUGCUUAUCUUACUGAAGAUGCACCUUACUGAGGAAGAAUUCUUUUCUUCAUGGAUGGGUAACUGUGUUCAACUUCAACCAGCAGAAAACACAGCUGACAAUGGCUUCACCAGUGAGAGGUUGAAAAUCGUAUGUAACAAAAAAUCCGUAGAGUGUAGCCCAGGGUGGUACAGCUGUUCAAUUAUGCCAUCUGGGACCCGCGCUCUCUCUGCUUUGACAUUCUCUAUGUUUUGGCUUUCAGCCUUCUGUUUGUUGCCCUUAGUCUUAGUACAGGUGCUGUAUGUCCAGGCAGGAGGAAUGGAAUAGCAGAAAUCCAGGUAUAAUCAUUGAUCAGCAAGGAUAGAAUUAUAUACCAUCCCAUCUCUGGUGGUAACGGUAGAUGGGAAAUUGUGUUUUGGGCUUUUAAGCUUCUAUAGAGGAGGCAGGGCUGGAAAAAUGUGGCCAAGAUUUGGUCUUCAGUGAACCAGCCUGUAGAUCAGUCAUAGCAAAGCUUAAUGCAAAUGAUGUUGUCUUCUUUUUCAAUGAGAAAAUAUUGGAG